ACCUCAAGGGGCACCUCUGGCGACGUUCUCCCUCCUGCUUCCUGUGUCCACACUUGAUUCUAUCAAUCGCCACUUUGUCAUCUGUCUUCGCGUCCUUUCUUUCCCUCAGAGGCCUGUCAGGCCCUCCGUCGUGUGCCUCAGGCAGCACCAGCGGGGCCCCGCAGGCAUCGGGGGGGGGGGGGUGGUUGCUGACUCCCUUGGAGCGUGAAACGGAGGUAAGGGCUCAGGGAGGGUCCUGGGGGAGGCCCCCUCAGGUGGCACCUGCGUUUCACACUUGCUGGGCAUCUCCGGGUUGUGAGCUAAGUGGGUUGUGCUUGUGAGGAAGAGGCCCUGAAGGACACACGAGAGCAAGGAGACCUUUCCUGCCUCAAAGCGCGCCUCGGAAGCCUGGAGGUGCCCCUUCUGUCUCCAGUCUCCCUGGGGGUCCCCACCGUGACCUGGCCAGAGGGAAGCUAGCUGCUUCUGGGCGGCGGCUGUCCCCUCCCCCAGCAGGUCAAAAAGGACGCAGAGGAUGUCUUCAGUCUUUCCAUAGAGGUCACUGAUUGAGUGGGCUGUUUGAUGUUUGGUUAGUGCCGAGACACUUCCUCUUUCGUUUGUGUCUCGUUCGGGCUUCCUCCCACCCCCCCCGCCCCCCAACCCCCCUCCCUGCUUGGAGACUGAAAAAGGGGAACAAAGCGGAAGGGGAAAGAAAACUGAACAUUUCAGAUGUAGCUGCGAUGCUGGAGACUGCCGUGGGGGGUGGGGGGGUCUGUGGAAGUCGGGGGUGGGGUGGGGAGGGUGGCACCCUCCAGAGGUCACGAGGCCCCCUUGACCUAGCCUUUCUCCCUGCCCUCCCACUAACUUCCAUGGCUCCCGCCCAAGUACUCCUAAAUGCUACGGGAGAUCCUUGGAACCCUGAGUCCUAUUUUUCAGGGAGCAGCACCCUUAAAGGAAAACCUAGAUCUGUUUUCGUUCAUUUCAUUGGGUUGACUAUAUCCAUUUGCAAGGCAGAUAUAGCUAACACACGUGUGUGUGUGUGUACACACACACACACCCCAGAUUGUGGUAGCUUUUGGAAACUGUCUGAGGCACAGAAAAUAACUUGCCUGACAAGACAUCAAAGACUUGCAAAGAGACCACAGCAGCAAAGGCCUUCAGACUGCCUAGCAAUUUCUACGUGAUUGAUGAUAAGCAUCUAUUUGCUCCAGUAAGUCGAAGUAGAACUGUAACCUUUUAUUUGUUCCGGGAAACAGUAACCGAAGUCACAAAUCAUAAAUAAUAAAAGACAGAAAAGUCCUCUUUUAACCUAAUGGACUAACAGAUCUCUUGCUUUUCAUUUCUGCUAAUGGCCUCCCCAACUUGGCACUAUCCGAGCUGGCCAAGGUCAGGCGAAUCGAGCCUCAGUCAGCAAGCUGGACUUGGUCCAAAAGAUUGUUUAUAAGUUGCUUGUUUGGAACGCAGAAUGCAUUUUCCCUAAAAAUCUAUCUUUCCCAGGGUGACUGGGCACUCAAGUUCCCCUUGCACGGGACUCCCCAACCUGUAGAGUACCCGGGCGGGCGCUGGGUCUUUGAAGGCAAGCUGUCUGCAAUGCCAGAGGGAGGAAACAAGUCAACUCUCGCUCGUGUAGCCCCGGCCCGGCACAAUUUAAAUGCUGCUCGGCUGAGGGACUCCGUGACCCUGAAUUACCUACUUGUUUCCACUUCCUGAUCGGUCAGACUUCCAUUUCCUGAGAGCAGCUGAUAACGGCUAAGGGCUAGAGGAAAAGUAAACGGAGCAGACAGCCGAGGGUCGUCAAAUGUUUGUGGAAAGUUAUCACAUGAAAGAAAAAGACCCAAACAGAGGAAACAACGAACGAAACUUCAAAAAUAGCAUAGCUCAUACCCAUAGAGAAACAGGAGAAGACAUCUUAUCCAUUAAAUGAGAAAUGGUGUAAAAUAAACAAUCUGAACACGAAAGAACGUUUGGCUAUUAAAAAAAUAGAAUGUUUG